rnacentral:snRNA from 1 species
AUACUUACCUGGCAGGGGAGAUACCAUGAUCACUAAGGUGGUUCUCCCAGGGCGAGGCUCAUCCAUAGAUGACCCCUGUGAUUUCUCCAAAUGCAGAGAACUCGACUGCAUAAUUUGUAGUAGUGGGGGACUGCGUUCAAGCUCUCCCUUU